AAAAGUUUAGUUAACAAUAUAACGUUAGUUUGUCAAACUAAAAUAAUUAAUUCAUUAAUAACUUUUA
rnacentral:tRNA from 1 species